rnacentral:tRNA from 1 species
GCGGGUGUGUUGUAGUGGUAACAAAAAUCCUUCCCAAGGAUUGAUCGCGGGUCCGAUUCCCGCCACCCGCUCCG